GGGGAUGUAGCUCAGUGGGAGAGUGCCUGCCUAGCAAACAGAAGGCCCUGGGCUCAAUUUCCAGCUCCA
rnacentral:tRNA from 1 species